UACGGAGGGGGCUAGCGUUGUUCGGAAUUACUGGGCGUAAAGCGCACGUAGGCGGAUAUUUAAGUCAGGGGUGAAAUCCCGGGGCUCAACCCCGGAACUGCCUUUGAUACUGGGUAUCUGGAGGUCGAGAGAGGCGAGUGGAAUUCCGAGUGUAGAGGUGAAAUUCGUAGAUAUUCGGAGGAACACCAGUGGCGAAGGCGGCUCGCUGGCUCGAUACUGACACUCAACUACGAAAGCGUGGGGAGCAAACAGG
rnacentral:rRNA from 1 species